AAAUAAAACAGUAAACCUAAUGUAAGAUCUCGCCCAACGUCGAGUUCU
rnacentral:sRNA from 1 species